AUGGCCGCGGUAUUUUGACCGUGCAAAGGUAGCAUAAUCAUUAGUUUUUUAAUUGAAAGCUGGAAUGAAUGGUUGGACAAGAAAAUUUCUGUCUCUAUCUAAUUUUUAGAAUUUUAUUUUUUAGUUAAAAAGCUUAAAUUUUUUUAAGGGACGAGAAGACCCUAUAGAAUUUUACAUGUUAAUUUGUUUUGGAUUUUUAGUUUUAUUAUAAAAGAAUAAGUUUAAUUUGUUUGGUUGGGGUGAUUGGAAAAUUUGAGAAACUUUUUUUGGGUUUGAUCAUUAAUUUAUGAAUAAAUGAUCCAUUGUUUGUGAUUAUAAGACUAAAUUACCUUAGGAUAAACAGC
rnacentral:rRNA from 1 species